GAUGAACGCUGACAGAAUGCUUAACACAUGCAAGUCAACUUGAAUUUGGGUUUUUAACUUCGGUUUGGGUGGCGGACGGGUGAGUAACGCGUAAAGAACUUGCCUCACAGCUAGGGACAACAUUUGGAAACGAAUGCUAAUACCUAAUAUUAUGAUAAUAGGGCAUCCUAUAAUUAUGAAAGCUAUAAGCGCUGUGAGAGAGCUUUGCGUCCCAUUAGCUAGUUGGAGAGGUAACGGCUCACCAAGGCGAUGAUGGGUAGCCGGCCUGAGAGGGUGAUCGGCCGCAAGGGGACUGAGACACGGCCCUUACUCCUACGGGAGGCAGCAGUGGGGAAUAUUGGACAAUGGACCGAGAGUCUGAUCCAGCAAUUCUGUGUGCACGAUGAAGUUUUUCGGAAUGUAAAGUGCUUUCAGUUGGGAAGAAACAAAUGACGGUACCAACAGAAGAAGUGACGGCUAAAUACGUG
rnacentral:rRNA from 1 species